AAAGGAAUAGACGGGGACCCGCACAAGCAGCGGAGCAUGUGGUUUAAUUCGAAGCAACGCGAAGAACCUUACCAGGGCUUGACAUCCCGAUGACCGGUAUAGAGAUAUACCUUCUCUUCGGAGCAUUGGAGACAGGUGGUGCAUGGUUGUCGUCAGCUCGUGUCGUGAGAUGUUGGGUUAAGUCCCGCAACGAGCGCAACCCCUAUUUUUAGUUGCCAUCACGUAAAGGUGGGCACUCUAAAGAGACUGCCGGGGAUAACUCGGAGGAAGGUGGGGACGACGUCAAAUCAUCAUGCCCCUUAUGUCCUGGGCUACACACGUGCUACAAUGGCCGGAAACAACGGGAAGCGAAGCCGCAAGGUGGAGCCAAUCCCCUAAAGCCGGUCCCAGUUCGGAUUGUGGGCUGCAACUCGCCCACAUGAAGUCGGAGUUGCUAGUAAUCGCGAAUCAGCAUGUCGCGGUGAAUGCGUUCCCGGGUCUUGUACACACCGCCCGU
rnacentral:rRNA from 1 species